CUGAAAGCAUCUAAGCACGAAACUUGCCCCGAGAUGAGUUCUCCCUGAGACUUAGAGUCUCCUGAAGGAACGUUGAAGACGACGACGUUGAUAGGCCGGGUGUGUAAGCGCAGCGAUGCGUUGAGCUAACCGGUACUAAUGAACCGUGAGGCUUAACCUUACAACGCCGAAG
rnacentral:rRNA from 2 species